GCCCAUGUAGCUCAGUUGGUAGAGCACAUCCUUGGUAAGGAUGAGGUCACCAGUUCAAACCUGGUCAUGGGCUCCA
rnacentral:tRNA from 4 species